rnacentral:rRNA from 1 species
AGUCGGGCAACCUGCGGUGUAAACUACUUUCCAUAGUAAAACUGACGUUCAUGUACAAAAGUAUGGGGAUUAAAUAGGAUUAGAGACCCUAGUAGUCCAUACCCUGACCUAUGAGUGUUAAAUGGGAGAUAAAAUUAUUAACAUCUUCGUGUUUCAGCUAACGCGGAAACACUCCGCCUGGGGACUACGGUCGCAAGAUUAAAACUCAAAGGAAUUGACGGAGAUCAGUACGUGCGGUGGAACAUGUGAUUUAAUGCGUCAAUACGCGCAAACCUUACCCUAUCUUGUUCCUUUCCUACCAAACCGAUUUAUAUAUGUUGAUUAUAAACCAAAUUUAUAAAGGUGGGAAAGAGAUCAGGUGUUGCAUGGUUGUCUUAAGUCCGUGCUGAUGAGUGUUCGGUUAAUUCCCUGAACGGACGGAACCCUUAGCUUUAAUUACUGUUUUUUUUAUAAUUUUUAUAAAUAAUAAGUAUUUUAUUAGUAGUGACUGCCUACGGAAUGUA